rnacentral:rRNA from 1 species
UACGUAGGGGGCAAGCGUUGUCCGGAAUCAUUGGGCGUAAAGCGCGUGUAGGCGGUCCGGUAAGUCCGCUGUGAAAGUCGGGGGGCUCAACCCUCGGAUGCCGGUGGAUACUGUCGGGCUUGAGUACGGAAGAGGCGAGUGGAAUUCCUGGUGUAGCGGUGAAAUGCGCAGAUAUCAGGAGGAACACCGGUGGCGAAGGCGGGAUCCUGGGCCAUUACUGACGCUGGAGGAGCGAAAGCGUGGGGAGCGAACAGG